ensembl:rRNA 5S_rRNA 5S ribosomal RNA
GCUUACGGCCAUACCACCUUAGGCACGCCCGAUCUCGUCUGAUCUCGGAAGCUAAGCAGGGUCAGGCCUGGUUAGUACUUGGAUGGGUGACCGCCUGGGAAUACCAGGUGCUGUAAGCA